UACAGAGGUCUCAAGCGUUGUUCGGAUUCAUUGGGCGUAAAGGGUGCGUAGGUGGCUAUGUAAGUCAGUGGUGAAAGCCCCGCGGCUCAACCGUGGAAUUGCCAUUGAAACUGCAUAGCUUGAGUACAGUUGAAGUGGGCGGAAUACAUCAUGUAGCGGUGAAAUGCUUAGAUAUGAUGUAGAACACCGAUUGCGAAGGCAGCUCACUAAGCUGUAACUGACACUGAGGCACGAAAAGCGUGGGUAGCGAACAGG
rnacentral:rRNA from 1 species